AACGCACAUUGCGCCCCUUGGUAUUCCGAGGGGCAUGCCUGUUCGAGCGUCAUUACAACCCUCAAGCAUUGCUUGGUAUUGGGCCCCGCUACUUACCCAGCGGGCCUUAAAAUCAGUGGCGGUGCCGUCGAGGCCCUGAGCGUAGUAAAUAUCCUCGCUAUAGGGACUCGGUGGACGCUGGCCAUCAACCCCCAACUUUCUAAGUUUGACCUCGGAUCAGGUAGGGAUACCCGCUGAACUUAA
rnacentral:misc_RNA from 1 species